rnacentral:misc_RNA from 1 species
GGAAACCUGCCCAGCAGAGCGACCCGUGAACACGUUCAACCUCGUGGGUGCUGGGGCGUUGCUCGGUGCCUCGNGUGCCUGCUCGCCCCUCUCCCAGGCCGGGGAGCUCCCACUCGUGGGCUGUUCCCYCGGCUAAACAACGAACCCCGGCGCGUAAAUGCGUCAAGGAAUAUAAACUCUAUGUGUGUGCUCUCCUCUCGCCCGGUCAGCCGGGYGUUGGAGUGGCGCCAUGUCUUAACAAUA